AUCCAGCUGAUGAGUCCUAAAUAGGACAAAACACACAUCCUGGAU
rnacentral:hammerhead_ribozyme from 1 species